UCCCAGAAGAUUAUAGAGUGCUAACAAACCAAUCAGUAGGGAUUCCAUAUUCUAGCUUGAGAAUGUUGGGACUAGAGUCACUGUACAAUUACUGUCAUGGUUUCCCCUACAUAUCAGUCAGAGUUCUCCUGAGAAAUAGAACCAAGAAGAUUGAUUCAUUUGCUCUAAGGAAUUGGCUCCUUAGAGCCAAUCCUCAUUUUGAUGGAGGAGGCUGACAUGUUAAAGACUCAGGAGAGUUGUAGUUGCAGUCCAAAGGCAGCCUUCUGGCAAACCAGGAAGAACUCAUGUUGCAGAUGAUGCAUUCAGUCUGUUGGAGAAUUUCCUCUUGCUUGGGUGGGACGUGGGGCAAGGCACUGCCUUCAAGGAGUUCUCAAGGGCUUGAACCAAGAGUUUCACGAAGGAUAUGAAUACAAUCCUGGAAGAAAAUUACAUGAUCCUUUUAUUAUUGUUGUGGUUGCAUGGAAUAGGACAUUAUCUAUGAUAUUUGCUUGGAAUGGCAUUAGAAAAUUAGCCUUGUCCUAAGAUGCUUUCACCUGAUUUCUAAAUCAGAAUUUCUAAAUUUAAUUGUAAGAAAAUUGUAUCUUAAGUCAUGUUAUAUAUUCUCCUGAAGAAUAAAAACAUACAUGAACAGAA